CCCGUUUUUGGGUUGUCUUGCUAGGCAACACAGUGACUGAAGAAGAAAUCUAUGAAACUAUUCAAAGUCUACAUCCUGAUAAAGCUCUGGGCCCUAAUGGUUUUUUUAAUUUUUUUUUCAAUAUUUUUGGCAAAUCAUUAAAAAAGAGAUUGUGGAAGCUAUUAAAUUUUUUUUCUCAUGCCUCUAUUCCUAACUCAUGGAAAAGAACAUAUAUUGCAUUAAUCCC
rnacentral:lncRNA from 1 species